UGGUGGAGUGAUUUGUCUGGUUUAUUCCGUUAACGAACGAGACCCCCGCCUGCUAAAUAACUCUGUUAAUGGUUUUCAUUGGCAUUGAGUUUCUUAGAGGGACUUUCAGUGUUUAACUUGAAGGAAGUUGGGGGCGAAUAACA
rnacentral:rRNA from 1 species